UACAGAGGGUGCAAGCGUUAAUCGGAUUUACUGGGCGUAAAGGGUGCGUAGGUGGUUUCGUCAGUCGGAUGUGAAAGCCCCGGGCUCAACCUGGGAACUGCAUUCGAUACUGCGAGACUCGAGUUCGGUAGAGGGCGGUGGAAUUUCUGGUGUAGCAGUGAAAUGCGUAGAUAUCAGAAGGAACAUCAAUGGCGAAGGCAACCGCCUGGGCCUGGACUGACACUGAGGCACGAAAGCGUGGGUAGCAAACAGG
rnacentral:rRNA from 1 species